rnacentral:rRNA from 1 species
CAGCAGCCACGGGAAUACAGAGGGUGCAAGCGUUAAUCGGAAUGACUGGGCGUAAAGGGCGCGUAGGCGGUAUAGCAAGUUAGAUGUGAAAUUCCUGGGCUCAACCUGGGGACUGCAUUUGAUACUGCUAAACUAGAGUUCGGAAGAGGGUAGUGGAAUUUCCAGUGUAGAGGUGAAAUUCGUAGAUAUUGGAAAGAACACCGGUGGCGAAGGCGGCUACCUGGUCCGACACUGACGCUGAGGCGCGAAAGCGUGGGGAGCAAACAGGAUUAGAUACCCCCGUAGUCCCUGUCUCUUAUAC